UUUCCGUAGGUGAACCUGCGGAAGGAUCAUUCUUAAUUAGCGUUUAUGCGAGGGCUGAAACUGACCCGAACCGUCGUGCACGCCCGAGUGGCCUCACACACAUCCAUCUCACCCCUAUGUCCACCACCGCAUCGGUCCGCCUUUAACUUAUUCUGAGUGGGGAUUACGAUUUCACCCAACCUUAACGUGCAGUGUGGCAUUUAUUUUGUGGUUUUACGAUCCCGCUCGCAAUACAACUCUCAACAACUCCUGUCUUUGCUCUCGCAUCGAUGAAGCACC
rnacentral:misc_RNA from 1 species